rnacentral:tRNA from 5 species
GGUGAGAUGGCCGAGAGGCUGAAGGCGCUCCCCUGCUAAGGGAGUAUGUGGUCAAAAACUGCAUCGAGGGUUCGAAUCCCUCUCUCACCGCCA